UGCUGACGCGAGGGCGUAUACUUAAGCAGAACCAAAACUGCUGAAGCGAAGCAGUGUGCCAAGAAGCCGGUAGUGGAUUUACCGGCAUUGUAAUGGCGUUUGCUCAUUGAGGAGUGCCUCAAACCAAAAAAAACAUAAGCAAAACCCUUUGCAUUUGCAGCGCAUUUCAGGUAAACAAAUUUGGAAAGGAACGCUCGUGAACCACCACGGGCGUUUUCUU
rnacentral:sRNA from 12 species